UUUCCGUAGGUGAACCUGCGGAAGGAUCAUUAAUGAGUUGUCAUGGGGUUCGAUGCUGGCAGCCAAUUUUUGGAUGCAUGUGCUUGCCCUAACAAUCAUCUUCCAAACACCUGUGCACAUUUUUGAGGGAGUCUUGAGUUGGUUGCCGCUCUUGGGUGAUUUUCUCACAUUCCCUUAAAUCAUUACACGCUAUUAACAAUGUAGAACAUGCUCUGUGCCGCAAGGCUAUUAAUAUAAUACAACUUUUAACAACGGAUCUCUUGGCUCUC
rnacentral:misc_RNA from 1 species